CAGGACUCUACUGCGGAGGUGCUGCUCUUGCUUGGAUCUUCUUGUUUGAAGAAGCCCAAAAGCUGCACCAGCCACAAGCAUCGCCUGAUCAAGACCAUUCAAUCUCCCUUUUUUAAAUUCAACAGCAGUCUGGGUGUCUUUGCCCUUUGGAGCAGUGAAUUCUGCUGGCUGACACCACUUGAGAGGAAGAAGAAAUUCUUCUCUUGGCCAAGUGCUUACUUAUUCUUCUAACAUAGGAUCGUGUGAAGAAGGACUGACAAUUUUGGUUUUAUUUUGCCUGUUUUGGUAGGAUACAGAGUCUUUUCUCAGCACGGAGCCCUGGCUGUGCUAGGAACCACAUAUAUGUGAGGACAAGUCCUAGCCUUGAAAAUCUCACCCUUUUAAAAGUCAAAACCACAAGAGAGAUGCAAAAAUACUUCUGUAAACAAACAGAGCAAUUAUCACUGGAUGUAAAGCUCUAUUUCUUCCUUGAGAGCAAUGAAAAGCACCCCUGUGAAGGGUCAGGAGGAAAGACAGCUCAGAUUUCUCCAGCUUUCAGUGGUAGUUGGGUGUGGAGGCAGGGAUGGACCAUGAGAUGCUGCAUGAUAACCUUUUGGCUGAUAUGCCAGUCACCUGCAGCCUGGCAUGAUAGCUUUUCCCCAUGCUGCACCCCUCCCCCCUUCCCCUUGCACUCCCUUGUGUCUCUUGUACAGGGUCAUGGAGGGAGAGAGAGGCCCCUGUGUCUGGGUGCAUAAUGGGAUGGCAGGGAGUCAUUCUGCAGGUCUCAAGUUCGUGGUGUGACAGUGAUGGGCAUAUGGAGGCCAGGUUCUGUCACUCUUGAAUAACUCACCUGUGAGUUUUGGCCUUUAGGCACCAGAGGGGUCUAAUGCCUGCUCAGUUCUGGUCCCCACUAUACAAAAAAUAUGUGGACCUGCUUGAGAGGGUCUAGAGAAGGGCAACAAAGAUUAUCAAAGGACUGGGCAGUGUGCUGUAUGAGAAAAGGCUGGGAGAUCGGAGAUCUGGGUUUUUUCAGUCUGGAAAAAAGAAAGCUUAAGGAGUUCCUUUUUGCCACAUUCCAGUACUUGAAGGGUGGCUACCAAGAAAACGGAAACUUCCUUUUUAUCAGGAGUUACAUGGAAAAGAAGAGUGGUAAUGGGUGCUAGUUACUCCUGAAGAGAUUCCAAUUGGACAUCAGAAGAAAUUUUUUCAAUUUGAACAGUUGGACAUUGCAAUAAUCUCCCUAGGGAAGUGGUGGCUUCCCCAACACUGAACAAUUUUAAGACUCAGCUUGACAGGGUACUGGGCCAUCACAUCUAAACCAUGUUCUUACCUAAAAAGGUUGGACCAGAUGAUCCUUCAGGUCCCUUCCAAACUGGCAUUCUGUGAUUCUGUGAUUUGUGAUCUUACUGCUGCUAGAAAGGACAAAAAUGUUUUUUGGCCCAUCACUGUGUCAGUGGGUGUUGAUGAGUGCACUUAAAAAGAGUUGGGCAAAGUGUUGGCGCAUCACAUAAAAACAAGAGGAAGAAAGGGGGAAGAAAGGAGGACUGAUGGAGAGGGCUGUGUGUGCAAAAUCUUGUGUUGGCAAAAAGGGAAUACACAAGUCAAGAUUUUAUUUGUCUAAUUAGAAUCUUAACAGGCUAACAAAUAUACAACAUACAGUUAGAAGCAGUACAAUUCCAAUACACAAAUAUUCACAGUUCAAACUGGUUAAUGUAAAAUAAGUCUUACUAAUAAAAUGGUUAAAAAUUGUUAUGCAGGACAACUAACCUCACAAAUCUACCUCUUAUUCCCUGGUGUUAUGCUCCUUUCCAUUGCCUCUCUGCAUCCUGGGGAUGAUGGUACAAUCUUCCCUUAUGAACAAAGUGGGUAGCAGGUUUGCAGCAAGACAUCGAUGUCCCAUGUGUCAAAUCUUCAGCUCCCCACAGUCCUGCCCUGCCCAACUAUGCUCUCCCCAAAGUGGGUCCACCUGUGGGCCCAUGUCCCAGCCUGUGCUUGUCCCCGUGGCCCUGCUUGGCCACCCUGGGGCUGUGUCUGACCCCAGUUUAUUCACUGAAGGUUUAUCAGCCUGAAGUCUCUGGGUAUCAUUCUAUACUUGUACUUCUCUAGGCUGUAUCAUGUGUCCCCACUUUGGAGGUUUUUGCCAUCCUCCUACAUAAUUACACUAGGGUUAUGAAUGUGUUUUAAUACACAGACUAUCUGCUUAUUAGUAUUUGUAAAAAAGUUACUAUCCCAUAUGAUUAUUCCAUAUGAUUCUGCUAUCUGAUUUUGCUCAACUCUAGAGCUAAGUGAAAGUUAAGUAAAUUAGGCAAUAGAUACCUGGACAUUAGAAAAUUGCUGUUACAGCUAAACAUUCUUCCAAGCAGGCCAAAAGUAGUCCAGACAAAGUUUGAGAUGUCCUGAGGUGUUUCUGGGUUAGUAGAAAGCCUGAAGACUGUCCCUAGCCAUGACAGCAUGGUGCUUCCCAAGCUAGGAGGCUACAGUCAGGAGCAUAGGGCUGGGGAGGAGGAAGGGACACUUCUGGGGGACCAGGUGAAGAAGGGAGGUUUGGCAAACAGCCAGCAGUGAAAGCAAAACACCCCUUGCCUGGAGGCAACCUGAUGCCCAAGAGACACAGAGGUGGAGUAGGCAGUGGGAUCCUGGUGUCACUUCUUCAGUUACAGCUGAAAGAAGCCAAAUAAGCUGAUGGUAGGAUGGCUGUUAUGGGAAUGGUGCUCUCAAAGACCCUUCCACCAUCCAGGUCUGGUGAGAGAUGGUGACUUCCAGACCUCAUGGGUACCUUUUCCAUGUGCCAGUCAUUGCUAUUUAACACUUCCUAAGAAACAUGUCACACUGCUGCAAUGAUACCUCCCAGUUGCUGCAUUGGAGAGAGAGAGGGUGACAAACUCUAUGGACUUUAUUAAGCCCUUGGGUUAAAAAGCACAUCUUUGCCCUUUUUCUACCUGGAAAAAUAUGCAUACCAUGGAUGCCUUCUGAAGUCUCUCAUCCCCUCUUUGCCAGACAGGAUUAUUUUGGAGUACAAAAAGUCUUUCAAACCUCUGGAAGAACAUCCUUCAGUACUCCCUGAAACUCACUUACCAAACCUUUGCUUAUUCAUUUAGUAAAAGGGGAAAAUACUUGCUUCUGAAUACAUGCAUCUGCAGUGAACUUCAAAGGGGAGUAACCCUAAGAAAUUUUAAUAAGCAUUUAGAGGAAUCCAUUUUAAAUUAAAAACUACUCAAGUGGUGGAGAAUGGCACACAAGAACAGUGAUAUGCUGCAAAAUGUACAAGAUGCUUCCCACUUUGUAGAUAUAUACACACUAUGUCCAAUAGUGUUUGGGAUAUUUUGAUGAGUUAGAGUUUGGAGUCACUGUCCUCAACUCCUACAAAUUACUUAAAGCUGUAUGUGAAGAAGAAACAUCUCACACGAGGUUCAUAGGUCUUUGAGGCAAGAUCCUAAACAAAGGUGAUGAAAUCAGGCGUGGGCCAUGGGUUAAACGUAUGAGGCAAUUAAAAUAGAGUAUUAACCCAGGUGUCCAUAAUAAAAGUUUCAAAAUGGCUUUAAAAGUAUGUGAUGACUAACACAUAAUUUAUAUUCUGUUCUCUCCAUAUCUCAUUUAUUGCUCUCCAGUGAUUUCUGAAUCAUUAAUGGAUUUUGGGCAAAAUUCCACCCAAGUAAUUGAACCCUGCCCUUCUAAAGCAUAUUUUAGUUUGUUUGUAUCUAUCUAUGUACUCACUUUGCCUUAUUCUAUUAUGUAGUGUGCUAGUAAACUAUUAAGAAGCCAUUACAGUCCCCUGACGAGCUUUGCAGGGUUAAUUGCUUUUUCUAAGCAGAUUUUUAUACAGUAUCUGUCAGUAGCCUUCAAACUGCUUGCUCAGCAUCAGACUGCAUCAGAGGGCCUUCAACUGUAGCAGAGGGCAGCAUAAGGUCUCCUGUGGUAGGUGGCUUCUCUGUGCACCAGUGUAUCUGAAAAAAACAAUUGUGAUCACCUCAGUAGGAGAUCCUCCACUGGCUGAUGAAGGAUCAUAACAAAUGCAGGAUUUAGUGUCCCUUUCAAUUACCACUAGCCCUCCCUGACUUCACUUGUUAUAAGCUCAGGGUAGGUCCUCUUUGGUUUGUUAGUAUGAGUGCUUCAAAUGCUGACAUUACUGCAGGGUUUGGGGUGUCUAAAGGCAAAAUCAUAACUUUAAUUAACGCAACUGAGUAUCUGCCACAUCUCUCAUAGACGUAAGCAAUUGUGAACUUCGACAUUAUGUAUGUUGAUCUGAAAACUGUAUGGGAAGGAAACUAUUUCAUGUGCAUCUUCCUUAGGAAAGAAAAAUCUUGUUGAGCUUUGUUGCAUUUGUGACUAUAUGCUCACACAUGAAGUUGUUUUAUAUGCAUUUAUUGGUAUUUUCGUUUCUGAUCUCCCAGGAUCAGAUGGCAUAAUCUUUUGAAUUCUGUCAUUUUAAGGCUUUAAUAAAAAUAUUAUUUAUCCAA